rnacentral:rRNA from 1 species
GACGUAGGGCGCGAGCGUUGUCCGGAUUUAUUGGGCGUAAAGAGCUCGUAGGCGGCUUGUUGCGUCGGCUGUGAAAACCCGCAGCUCAACUGUGGGCUUGCAGCUGAUACGGGCAGGCUUGAGUUCGGUAGGGGAGACUGGAAUUCCUGGUGUAGCGGUGAAAUGCGCAGAUAUCAGGAGGAACACCGGUGGCGAAGGCGGGUCUCUGGGCCGAUACUGACGCUGAGGAGCGAAGGCGUGGGGAGCGAACAGG